rnacentral:rRNA from 1 species
UACAGAGGGUGCAAGCGUUGUUCGGAAUUAUUGGGCGUAAAGCGCGUGUAGGCGGCCGUGCAAGUCGGGUGUGAAAUCUCGGAGCUUAACUUCGAAACUGCAUUCGAUACUGCCGUGCUUGAGGACUGGAGAGGAGACUGGAAUUUACGGUGUAGCGGUGAAAUGCGUAGAUAUCGUAAGGAAGACCAGUGGCGAAGGCGGGUCUCUGGACAGUUCCUGACGCUGAGGCACGAAGGUCAGGGGAGCAAACGGG